AUUCCCCUGCUAUGUUCGUGAUUGGCGGAAGAUUUUUGAGCCAACACUAAUGUAAAAGGGAGUUCCCACUUGCCCUUGUGUGUCCUUUUAGAUGGUGAAAAAGACCUAAUGGGGUAACGGAAUGCCCACCUGCGUGAGCUUAGGUCCAAAAAGAACUGCCGACACGGCAUUGCAGCGGGGGAAAA
rnacentral:other from 1 species